rnacentral:lncRNA from 1 species
UUUGUACUCCUAUGAGAGAUGAAUACAACUUGCAUAUUGAGCUCAUACUUAUAGUUUAACAUGGUAUCAGUUUUGUGAUCCUCCUUUCUCGCUUCCGCCAUGGCCGAGGAAACCUCCGACGUCGCGGCCGCCGCCGCCAUGGGCGCUCCUCAGGCUUCCUCCUCGCCUCCUCCUCCCCCUCCCCCACCGGCCACCUCCCCUCUGAGGUCGCCCCCUCCCCACUGCCGCUCCUUGCCGCUCCUACCCUCCCCCACUUCAAGACGGCGGCACAGCUCCAUGCCGAGCGCGUCGAAGGCGCCAACAUCUUCCACCGUGUCCGCGUCGUCCUCGACAUGCAGGGGAAGAACUACUCCGUCUGGCGUGUGCUGAUGGAAUAGGCCUUCGAUUAGUUAGACGUGAACGACCACGUCUCGCUCGACUUCUCCGAUCAUCAGCACGACCCGACGUGGACCAUUAUCAACAAAUUGGUAAAAACCUGGUUCUACAACACCAUGUGUCCUGAACUUCUCGGGUUUGUUCAGGACCGGAGAGCCACGGCCUUUGAGCUUUGGUCCAAGCUGGAAGCGCUCUUCCUCAACAACCAGCACUCCCGGCAGUUCCAUCUCAAGACGGAGCUCUACGCCAUGAAGCAGGGCGACUCCACCAUCCCGGUCUUCUGCGCCCAGCUCAAGUCCGUCGCGGAUGCCCUCCGUAACAUCAACAAGCCCGUCGACGACGAUGAGCUGGUGAUCCAGCUUCUUCGGGGCGUCAACCGGGAUCGCCACGGGAUGACGACUGCCAUCAUCGAGAAGUCGACGAACCCCGUGCCCUUCGAGCAGGCCGUCGGCAUGUUUCUUCAUGAUGAGAUGACCUCCGGCGGCGCCUUCCCAGCCGGUUCCCACACCGCUCUUGCGGCUCACGGCCGUCCCCCUGAUCCAUCUCCGGGGGGCGUCUCCGGCAGCGUCACCAAGCAGCAGGGCGGCGGCAGCAAGCCCGGCACCCCCUCGUCGAACCAAGGCGCCAACAAGCGGCGGCGCUACACCAACAACGGGGGGUACCAGGGUGCGUCCACCGGCCCCAAUCCCUGGACUAGGCAUGUGUACGCCUACCCGAUGCCGCUCCCGCCGCCGCCCCGGGCACUCCCGGGCCUCCUUGGCUCGCGUCCUCAGGCGCACGCUGCGUUCGGCGGCCCACAGCAGCCGCUCCAGCCGGCGUACGGGUACACCUACGGCGGCCCCCAUCUACAGCCUGCACCCAUGCCGGUGUUCCCUCCACAGCAGCAGUACCUUCAUCACCACCACCAGCAGCAGGCGUACCUUCCGGCCCCUCCACAGCAGCAGUUCCUGUCUCCGCCGCCCGCCGCAGCCUCUGAUUCACACGACGUCGACCACACCGCCUUGAUGGGCGCUCUUCAGAACCUGUCCCUGCAGUCUUCGAGCGGCGGCGGCGCCUCCGCUCACAUCACCUCGGAUCCUGGUAAGCUUUCCUCCGUCGUCCCUGUAUCAGGUUAUCCCCCAGUUUAUGUCGGUAAUGGUAGUUCCCUGCACAUUAAUCACGUUGGCUCUGCUACUCUUCCAAACCCACAUCGGCCUCUCUAUCUCAAUAACGCUCUUGUUGCACCUGAUCUCAUCAAAGAUUUGUUGUCUGUUCAUCGUUUAACUACUGAUAACAACUGUUCCGUUGAAUUUGAUCCCCAUGGCCUCUCUGUGAAGGAUUAUGCAACCAAGGCGGAGGUCCUCCGGUGCAGCAGUAGCGGCGAGCUGUACGACAUUUUUCCACCGGCCGCACCCACUGCCUACGUCGCCACCAUCUCACGCCUUACAGAUCUUUGGCACCGGCGUUUGGGUCACCCCGGCGAUGCCACUUUUCGUAGCAAUAAAAGUUUAGAUCAUUGUAAUAAAAGUGUUUCUGAUGGGCGCUUGUGCCAUGCUUGCCAGACUGGAAAACAUGUUCGUUUGCCUUUCAGUGCCUCUCUUAGUUCCACCACUGGUCCAUUUGAAUUACUCCAUUGUGAUCUUUGGACUGCCCCUUUAUCUAGUGUCUCUGGCAACAAAUAUUAUCUCUUAGUCAUUGAUGAUUUCUCGUGCUACCGAUGGACUUUUCCUCUCAAACAGAAAUCUGAUGUCCCUGCCGUGUUUCAUUACUUUCAUGCAUAUGUCCGCACGCAUUUCGGUCGUACCAUCCGUACUCUCCAAUGCGACAACGGACGUGAGUUUGACAGUACCCAAAACCGCGACUUUCUACUUCCCUUUGGCACGGUGAUGCGCUUCUCCUGCCCUUACACGUCCCCCCAGAACGGGAAAGUCGAGCGUGCUAUUCGUUCGACGAACGAUGUGGUCCGCAUGCUCUUACUUCAAGCAUCCAUGCCUCCUCGCUACUGGGCCGAUGCUCUCACCACCGCCACCCUCCUUCUCAACCUUCGUCCCACCAAAAAGUUGUCCCUCACCACGCCUCAUGAAACCCUUCAUCACACACCACCCUCUUAUUCUCACCUGCGUGUUUUUGGGUGCCUAUGCUACACCAACACCGAGGCCACCACACCACACAAACUGGCUGCCCGCUCCGUCGCGUGUGUCUUCAUCGGCUACCCCCUCGAUCACAAGGGCUAUCGCUGCCUCGACCGUUCCACCAACAAAGUGUACACAUCCCGGCACGUUGUCUUUGAUGAGUUCGUUUUCCCCUUUUCUACCACCCCGACGGCCUCCCCACCGAUGGACUUUUCUCACCCGGCGUCCUACGACGGCCCAGCCCUCUCCUCCGCUCCUGUGAUCACACCGCUAGUCGUUAGGACUCCUCCCACGACCGCCACUUCGCCCGGCGAUGGCACUGCCACGGUGGCCGUCUCGCCCGGCGAAACCGCUGCCACGGCGGCCGUUUCGCCCGGCGAUAACGCUGCCACGGCAGCCGUCUCGCCCGCCGCAUCCGUUGCUACAACACCGGAUUCCACUGCCACCCGGACCUCUUCCUCGAUCGAUAGUAGCCCCUUGUCUUCCUCCUCUGGUAGCACUGCCGAACCCAGACCCCUCCCUCCAUGGGCCGUUGCUGUUGCACCGCCUGCUAACCCCCAUAACAUGCGCACUCGUGCCAAAUCCGGCUUCCACAUACCCUCCCGCCGCCUCAACUUCCUUGCUGAUUUUCGUGGUGUCUCACCACUUCCCCGCACCUACCGGGCUGCUCUUGCUGAUCCACACUGGGCCAGCACCAUGAGUGAUGAGUACCAAGCUCUUCUCCAGAAUGAGACUUGGGCUCUUGUCCCUCGCCCCUCCGGUGUUCCCGUCAUCAGCGGGAGUGGGUUUUUAGGCACAAGUAUAACUCUGACGGCACGCUUGCUCACUAUAAAUCCCGUUGGGUUAUCCGUGGGUUUUCUCAAACCGAGGGGAUUGAUUACGACGAGACCUUCUCUCCCGUCGUCAAACCCAGCACUAUCCGUGUCGUUCUCUCCCUCGCUACCUCUCACUCCUGGCCCAUCCACCAGUUAGAUGUCAAGAACGCUUUCCUUCAUGGUCAUCUUGCUGAGACCGUCUACUGCCAGCAGCCCCUCGGGUUCGAAGACCCCGUUGCACCUUCUCACGUCUGCCGCCUCAAGAAAUCCCUUUACGGCCUUAAGCAGGCUCCGCGUGCAUGGUUUACUCGUUUUGCCGCGUUCGUCGCGUCCAUCGGGUUCGUUGCCUCUAAAUGUGACACCUCUCUCUUCAUUUACAAGUCCACAAACCACACCGCCUAUCUUCUUCUUUACGUCGACGACAUCAUUCUUACGGCCUCAUCGACCUCUUUUCUUCACUACAUCAUCUCUCUCCUUCGUGGCGAAUUCUCUAUGACUGACCUCGGUACACUCUCUCAUUUCCUUGGCAUUACCGUGACUCACUCACCCACGGGGCUCCAUCUUUCUCAACGGCAGUAUGCCUUGGAUAUCAUAGAGCGUGCUGGCAUGGUCGAUUGUCAUCCCAUCCGUACUCCCAUCGACUCUGGCGCCAAACUCUCCAUCACUGACGGUGAUCUCCUCGAUAACCCUACUAUCUAUCGCAGUCUAACCGGCGCCCUCCAGUACAUGACUAUCACUCGUCCUGACCUGUCCUAUGUCGUUCAGCAGGCAUGUCUCUUCAUGCAUGCCCCACGAUUCCUCCCACUAUAAUCUUGUCAAACGCAUCAUUCGUUAUCUCAAAGGCACCCUGGACUAUGGUCUCCACAUUUAUCCAUCCUCACAGUCCACUCUCUUAGAUAUUCCGACGCGGAUUGGGCGGGCUGCCCCGACACACGACGCUCCACCUCUGGUUUUUGCGUUUUUCUUGGGGAUAACUUGAUAUCUUGGUCGUCGAAGCGACAGCUUACUGUUUCCAGGUCGAGCGCUGAGGCGGAGUACCAGGCUGUUGCCCACGUCGUUGUCGAGACCGCUUGGCUCCGCCAAUUGUUGCAAGAGCUCCACUAGCCUAUCGCCAAGUCUACGGUUGUGUAUUGUGAUAAUGUCUCUGCUGUGUACAUGUCAGCUAACCCAGUGCAGCAUCGACGCACCAAACACAUUGAGAUUGACAUUCACUUCGUCCGUGACAAGGUUUCACUCGGUGAGGUCCGAGUGCUUCAUGUCCCUACAUCAUCUCAGUACACGGAUAUCUUCACCAAGGGUCUUCCCACUGCUACAUUCGCGCAGUUCCGGACGAGUCUCAACGUUCGGCAAGCCCACGAUGAAACUACGGGGGGCUGUUAGACUGAUGAUUACCGGCUUGAGCUGGUCUUGCGACAGGAGCGUCGCUAGUCUUGCGCCACGGGCGCCACCGCCUCUGCAUGCGCCAUGCAUGCAGUGCAGCCGGUAUUAUCCGCUGCUAACUCUCCACGAGAUUAGGAUCGAUGGUUAGCUUAGCUAGCGUGUGCGUGUGUAUUCUCUCUCCCUCUCUCUCCCUGAUGUACUGCUAUAUAUCUUUGUACUCCUGUGAGAGAUGAAUACAACUUGCAUAUUGAGCUCAUACUUAUAGUUUAACAAUAAUCUUUGCUGAUCCUAACUAGAUGGAGGGGGUUCUAUAUAUAGUGUUCCACGAAAUAAGAGAGGAGGGGGGAUACAUGAAGCCUCUGGCCCGGUUGUGCAUGCAUAGGUGCCAAGUGAGGGUUGGGGGGCCCGACGAAAGACCCCAGAUGUCCGGGCCCUAGGCCGAAUGUCCGCACGAGCUCUUGUCAUCGGUCCACUUGGUGCUUGAUAAGACAACGGAGGGUCCAUGGAGAUGACCGUGGGAUGAUCCACAUCAAGAACAAACUUC